rnacentral:lncRNA from 10 species
CCUAAAGCUCCUUUCAAUUCUUUACAAUCCAAGAUUAUAUGGAAUGGACUGGGAACAAAGAGAGGGACUGGCAUUUAAAGUCUUUUAUACACUUUGGAACAAAUGUUAUUCUCCAUUCAUCCUGACACUAAAUUGGUUAGCCAAACCCAAAGAUCUACUAAUAAUCCUGCUUUGGCAUGGGAGAAUGAGUGAGAUAAGGAGGCAAUAGAGGAGAUGAAUCGACAAAUGGAAGGAAUAGAAUUCUGGUUGAUGUCCUUGUCUCUAAGCUGUAGCAGCAAAUGUUUCAAUUCAUGCCAUCACAUCUUUGAAAACUGGCAAUUCAACCUUGCCUUGAGCAUUUCCAUGUACAGGAAACACAUGAUCUCUUAAGGAGUCCAUUUCACCGUCAGACGGUUCUGAAGGAUGUGAGUGGUUCUCAACAUUGAAACCAGUGCUGGCUCCUGGUUUGAAUUUCUGUAGCCACUCCAGUCUCGUUCUUGUGCUCACCAUUCCUCCAAAUUGGC